GGAAGACACUACAGAGGCCAGGGACGGUCUACUAGAGUCAUCAGAGGAAGAUGAUUUUCACCUGCCACCAGUGACAAGCUACCCACAGCGACAAAGGCACCGUCCCCAGAUUCUGACCUACAACGCCUUGGGUGAACCAACGUGGGUGAAAGCUGGUGCAGAGAGCCUGCGUGUCGUGAGUAUGACCUCAGCCUGCAAACCACCGACCAUGUGGCGACCCUGGACAUCACUAGACACUGAAGUAAUGAGUUGAACUCACACAAACAUUACUCUAGUUUGGAGAAAAUGGACUUGGUGAAAUUCCAUGAAGUGUAAAGAAGAGACAUUUCCAGGAGAACAUAUUGAAAUAAUACUGUACAGAUAGAGAUACUGGUAACAGACUAAAAGAACUGAGGCCGAUAUGAGUUCUGUUACAAUUGAGAGUUGAUCUGAUUGAGGUCCACAGUACAGUAGCUGAUGUUUACUGGUAUUGAGCUAAAUGGGCCGGAUACUUUGAUAAAUGGGUACUAAUUGAACUUGAUGUCAAGGGCCACAUUAAAUAAAAUGUAACAUCAAUAGGUAAUACCAUGUUUCAGUAAGAAAAUUCGAUAUGUGACAGGGUACAUUUUGGGUAUCAGAAAUGUCUGAGGACAUUUAUUAUUGGGGGGGAGAGUGUGGCAUACUGAGCAAGCAGUGGGUUGAAACUCCUACCCAAUGAUUAGAUACAUGAUUAAUAUAAUUUACAUGUAAUACAGUUUAUGUUCAGACUGCUAAAGUUGUGUUUUCUGUUAAGGAAAGUUUGUUUUGUUGUUUGAAGAUGAGUGAUGGAGCAGUAUGCACUGGCUAACCCCGACCAGCAGGGGGCGCGUUCGCUACACUGUGUGUUCUAGGUUAUUCAGAGAAUAAGAACACAUGAAUGUGAAGUAUAAUUGUGUGUGGCGAACUGUGUUGUUAAAAAUAACUUUUGGCUCCUUGCAGAUUGCAAUAAAGCUGAUUCAUCAAGUUAAA